rnacentral:lncRNA from 1 species
GGGAUGAGCCGGUCAAUAUGGAGAAUCUCAUUUACAGAAAAUUCCAUCAGUUGCUCCAGUGGUUUUAUCACAGUACUGUGUUUGAAAAAAUCUUUAAAUGCAAAAGGAAAGAGCCAUCCAAAUGAAUAGCAACUGUGGAAAGGCUACAGUAACUUUAUCUGAAGAGUCUGUUACCAUCUCACACAGGCACAUGAACUUUUUGAGUCAGACAGAAAUUGCCAUUAAUUUGUGCAAUACUAACUUUGUAAAUAAUAAUUAAGCUGGCAAAUGUACUUACUCUUCAGAGAAAGAAGGUGGUAUGAAGGGGUAAGAAGAUACCAAGCACUAAAACUUGGACAUAUCUUAACAGGAAGGGCAGAGCAUGCCAAGACUGGCACAAAGGCAGACCAAGGACCCUCUCAACGCGGCAGCCUUGCCCUUCCUGCUCAGUGACAAAGUGCCUAACAGCAGCUGUCAAGUCCCAGUGAGAGAAAUAAAGCUGGGCUACUGCACAUUCUCACACAACUGGUCAUCUUCUUACCAUGUACUUACAAAACACGUAGAAGGACAAUAUAACUUACAUAUGUAG